UCCUCCCUCAAACCUCGUGUUUGGUGUUGGACCGCGUUGGCCGAGCGACCAACUGGUCUCAAAGACAAUGACGGCGUCCGUGGGACCCUCGGUGCAACGAGCUUCUAAGGAGCACGCGUCGAGUUUCAAGGACCCUCCGGGCCGGUCAGACCUCCUUUACUUUUCA
rnacentral:misc_RNA from 1 species